GAAGUUGGGGAAAGUGGCGGACGGGUGAGUAACGCGUGAGCAAUCUGCCUUGGAGUGGAGAAAUCCGGUCUAAUACCGCAUGACGCGGGAAAGGCGCAUGCCUUUUCCGCCAAAGGAGGCGACUCCGGUGCCGGCUGGGCACGCGUGACAUUAGCUAGUUGGCGGGGCGACGGCCCACCAAGGCGACGAUGUCUAGGGGUUCUGAGAGGAAGGUCCCCCACAUUGGAACUGAGACACGGUCCAAACUCCUACGGAAGGCAGCAG
rnacentral:rRNA from 1 species